AUCACUUGGAAAUAGCGGGACCCGGAGAUUGGUAGAUCCGGGCGUAAGGGACCGAAUACGAGUAGGGAAGUCCGCGAUGUUCCGAGGCGAGAAAAGGCGAAGGUAGGGUGCCCGUACCGCAAACCGACACAGGUAGAUGAGGAGAGAAUCCUAAGGCCAACGGGAGAAGGGUUGUUAAGGAACUCGGCAAAAUGACCCCGUAACUUCGGGAUAAGGGGAGCCUGUCUAUGGCAGGCCGCAGAGAAUAGGCCCAAGCGACUGUUUACCAAAAACACAGGUCUAUGCUAAAUCGAAAGAUGACGUAUAUGGGCUGACGCCUGCCCGGUGCUGGAAGGUUAAGAGGAGAUGUCAGGCAACGAAGCAUUGAAUCGAAGCCCCAGUAAACGGCGGCCGUAACAAUAACGGUCCUAAGGUAGCGAAAUUCCUUGUCAGGUAAGUUCUGACCCGCACGAAUGGCGUAACGAUUUGGGCGCUGUCUCAACAGCCCACCCGGCGAAAUUGUUGUACUGGUGAAGAAGCCAGUUACCCGCAACUAGACGGAAAGACCCCAUGGAGCUUUACUGCAGCUUAAUACUGGAAUUCGGUAAUUCAUGUACAGGAUAGGUGGGAGACUGAGAACUAACGUCGUCAGGCGCUAGGGAGUCGCCCUUGGGAUACCACUCUUGAAUUGCUGGGUUUCUAACCUGCGGCCGUGAAUCCGGUCGGGGGACACUGUUAGGCAGACAGUUUGACUGGGGCGGUCGCCUCCUAAAAGGUAACGGAGGCGCUCAAAGGUUGGCUCAGCACGGACGGAAAUCGUGCAAUGAGUGUAAACGUAUAAGCCAGCCUAACUGCGAGAGUGACGGCUCGAGCAGUAACGAAAGUUGGAGUUAGUGAUCCGGUGGUAUGUGAGUGGAAAUGCCAUCGCUCAACGGAUAAAAGCUACCCUGGGGAUAACAGGCUGAUCUCCCCCAAGCGUCCACAGCGACGGGGAGGUUUGGCACCUCGAUGUCGGCUCGUCACAUCCUGGGGCUGUACUCGGUCCCAAGGGUUCGGCUGUUCGCCGAUUAAAGUGGCACGCGAGCUGGGUUCAGAACGUCGUGAGACAGUUCGGUCCCUAUCUGUUGCGGGCGUAAGAGAUUUGAAGGGGGCUGUCCUUAGUACGAGAGGACCGGGAUGGACGCACCUCUGGUGCACCUGUUGUCGUGCCAACGGCAUAGCAGGGUAGCUACGUGCGGACGAGAUAAACGCUGAAAGCAUCUAAGCGUGAAACUUUCCCUAAGAUAAGAUCUCUCAUCCUUCAUGGAGUAAGGCACGAUGUAGACUAUAUCGUAGAUAGGCCGGAGGUGGAAGUGCAGUAAUGUAUGGAGCUGACCGGUACUAAUAAGCCGAGGGCUUGACCU
rnacentral:rRNA from 1 species